rnacentral:misc_RNA from 1 species
GAUGAAGAACGUAGCGAAAUGCGAUAAGUAAUGUGAAUUGCAGAAUUCAGUGAAUCAUCGAGUCUUUGAACGCACAUUGCGCCCCCUGGUAUUCCGGGGGGCAUGCCUGUCCGAGCGUCAUUGCUGCCCUCAAGCACGGCUUGUGUGUUGGGCCUCCGUCCUCCUCCCGGGGGACGGGCCCGAAAGGCAGCGGCGGCACCGCGUCCGGUCCUCGAGCGUAUGGGGCUUCGUCACCCGCUCUUGUAGGCCCGGCCGGCGCUUGCCGACACAUCAAUCUUUUUUCCAGGUUGACCUCGGAUCAGGUAGGAAUACCCGCUGAACUUAAGCAUAUCAAUAAGCGGAGGA